GGAGGGCUCUAGCUCAGCGGGAGGACAUCUGCUUUGCAUGCAGAAGGUCUCACGUUCAAUCCCCAGCAUCUCCA